CGGGGCGUGGCCCAGUGGCAGGGCGCCUGGUUUGGGACCAGGAGGUCGGCAGUUCGAAUCUGCCCGCCCCGACCA
rnacentral:tRNA from 1 species